rnacentral:misc_RNA from 1 species
UCUCCGUAGGUGAACCUGCGGAGGGAUCAUUACUGAGUGAGGGUUUAACCGCCCGACCUCCAACCCUUUGUGAAUCGUACUCGUUGCUUCGGGGGCGACCCUGCCGUUCGCGGCGUGGGGCCCCCGGAGCCCAUCAAACCCUGCGUAACUAAGUCGUCGGAGUUAAAGUAAAUUAAACAAAACUUUCAACAACGGAUCUCUUGGUUCCAGCAUCGAUGAAGAACGCAGC